rnacentral:rRNA from 1 species
UACGUAGGGUGCGAGCGUUGCCCGGAUUUAUUGGGCGUAAAGGGCGCGUAGGCGGCCUGGCGCGAUCGGCUGGUGAAAUCUCCCCGGGCCUCAACUGGGAGGGGACGGCCGAUACGGCUGGGCUUGAGCGAGGUAGGGGAGGAGUGGAAUUCCCGGUGUAGUGGUAGGAAUGCGUAGAUAUCGGGAGGAACACCAGUGGCGAAGGCGGCUCUCUGGACCUCUGCUGACGCUGAGGCGCGAAAGCGUGGGGAGCGAACAGG